rnacentral:rRNA from 1 species
AUACGGAGGGUGCGAGCGUUGUUCGGAAUUACUGGGCGUAAAGGGCGCGUAGGCGGCUUUACAAGUCAGGUGUGAAAGUCCACGGCUCAACCGUGGAAGUGCAUUUGAAACUGUAAGGCUUGAGUACUGGAGGGGAGUGUGGAAUUCCUGGUGUAGAGGUGAAAUUCGUAGAGAUCAGGAGGAAUACCGGUGGCGAAGGCGACACUCUGGACAGAUACUGACGCUGAGGCGCGAAAGCGUGGGGAGCAAACAGGAUUAGAAACCCCAGUAGUCC